GCGGACGUGGUGAAAUGGUAGACACGCUACUUUGAGGGGGUAGUGGGCAUUUACGCCUGUAUGAGUUCGAGUCUCAUCGUCCGCA
rnacentral:tRNA from 1 species